CACCACAUUGAUAGCUGUCCGUACGGCUCAGUGUACCUGUCGCCGCCCCCUGACACCAGCUGGAGAAGGACAAAUUCAGACUCAGCCCUGCAUCAGAGCACUCUGACUCCUGCACAACUCGCCUCCUUCACUGGAGGCUCUCAGGAACUUCAGCCAAAACGAGUUCUCCUUCUCACUGUGCCAGGGUCUGGAGUCCUUAAGCAAGAGGUUGAUGAAGAUGGACAGAAGCAGAGCUGGGACUGCAAAAAGAAUGUGUCACAGUCUGAACCCUGUCAAAUUCCUGGCAUCCAGUGAGUAUUUUACUGCUUUUAUAAAAAG